rnacentral:rRNA from 2 species
GCGAAGAAACUUACAACAAAGAGUCCCUCCCGACUGUUUACCAAAAACACAGCACUCUGCUAACUCGUAAGAGGAUGUAUAGGGUGUGACGCCUGCCCGGUGCUCGAAGGUUAAUUGAUGGGGUUAGCAUUAGCGAAGCUCUUGAUCGAAGCCCGAGUAAACGGCGGCCGUAACUAUAACGGUCCUAAGGUAGCGAAAUUCCUUGUCGGUUAAAUACCGACCUGCAUGAAUGGCGUAACGAGAUGGGAGCUGUCUCAAAGAGGGAUCCAGUGAAAUUGUAGUGGAGGUGAAAAUUCCUCCUACCCGCGGCAAGACGGAGAGACCCCGUGGACCUUUACUACAGCUUGACACUGCUAUUUGGAUAAGAAUGUGCAGGAUAGGUGGGAGGCUUUGAGUAUAUGACGCCAGUUGUAUAUGAGCCAUUGUUGAGAUACCACUCUUUCUUAUUUGGGUAGCUAACCAGCUUGAGUUAUCCUCAAGUGGGACAAUGUCUGGUGGGUAGUUUGACUGGGGCGGUCGCCUCCCAAAUAAUAACGGAGGCUUACAAAGGUUGGCUCAGAACGGUUGGAAAUCGUUCGUAGAGUAUAAAGGUAUAAGCCAGCUUAACUGCAAGACAUACAAGUCAAGCAGAGACGAAAGUCGGUCUUAGUGAUCCGGUGGUUCUGUGUGGAAGGGCCAUCGCUCAAAGGAUAAAAGGUACCCCGGGGAUAACAGGCUGAUCUCCCCCAAGAGCUCACAUCGACGGGGAGGUUUGGCACCUCGAUGUCGGCUCAUCGCAUCCUGGGGCUGGAGCAGGUCCCAAGGGUAUGGCUGUUCGCCAUUUAAAGCGGUACGCGAGCUGGGUUCAGAACGUCGUGAGACAGUUCGGUCCCUAUCUGCCGUGGGCGUAAGAAGAUUGAAGAGAUUUGACCCUAGUACGAGAGGACCGGGUUGAACAAACCACUGGUGUAGCUGUUGUUCUGCCAAGAGCAUCGCAGCGUAGCUAAGUUUGGAAAGGAUAAACGCUGAAAGCAUCUAAGCGUGAAGCCAACUCUAAGAUGAAUCUUCUCUAAGCUCUCUAGAAGACUACUAGUUUGAUAGGCUGGGUGUGUAAUGGAUGAAAGUCCUUUAGCUGACCAGUACUAAUAGAGCGUUUGGCUUAUCUUUAAUAAAGCAU